rnacentral:rRNA from 1 species
UGGGGAAUUUUGGACAAUGGGCGAAAGCCUGAUCCAGCAAUGCCGCGUGUGUGAAGAAGGCCUUCGGGUUGUAAAGCACUUUUGUCCGGAAAGAAAUCCUUGGCUCUAAUACAGUCGGGGGAUGACGGUACCGGAAGAAUAAGCACCGGCUAACUACGUGCCAGCAGCCGCGGUAAUACGUAGGGUGCAAGCGUUAAUCGGAAUUACUGGGCGUAAAGCGUGCGCAGGCGGUUUGCUAAGACCGAUGUGAAAUCCCCGGGCUCAACCUGGGAACUGCAUUGGUGACUGGCAGGCUAGAGUAUGGCAGGAGGGGGGUAGAAUUCCACGUGUAGCAGUGAAAUGCGUAGAGAUGUGGAGGAAUACCGAUGGCGAAGGCAGCCCCCUGGGCCAAUACUGACGCUCAUGCACGAAAAGCGUGGGGAGCAAAACAGGAUUAGAUACCCU